rnacentral:rRNA from 1 species
ACAAGAGCCCGUAGUCGAAUCGCCCGUAGCAAGGCGAAUGUGACGACCGUGAUAGUGUUAGUUCACGGCGACGGUGUGAAAACGAUUGGAAUAUCGUGCCGGAGAGGGUGAUAGCCCCGUUGCACACUGAUAACCCUGUUCUCUGCUUGAGCGAGUAUAACGAGUCGGAUAGCUUGGGAUUGCUGUCUAAAGAGCGGUGGUACACUCCACCGAAGGCUAAAUAACGGCACGAAACCGAUAGCAAACAAGUACUGUGAAGGAAAGUUGAAAAGGCGUCUGAAAAGACGGUCAAAAGUACGUGAAACUGCCGGCGGGGAAGCGGAGCGUGUGUUUAUUUUAUCCUCAUUAAAGGGCGAUGAGGCGUCUCUUACCAAGUGUCGCAGUGUGUCCCGCUAGUUUACUCGUAAACUUGUAGUAACCUGCGAAUGACGCGGUAAAAGAUGCCCGCAAAAAUGUCGAGACGGGGAACAGCAGGGUAACAUGCCUGCCGCCCUCUCGCAUCUGCCUCUAACACUCGCUCCGACCCGUCUUGAAACACGGACCAAGGAGGCUGAGGCGGCAACGAGUCGUGAGGUGGCAAACCUGACGGCACAGCGAAAGCGAUAGUGUCACCGUUUCUUCCUAUAAAAGAAACAUUCAACACUGACCGCCCUUUAUAACAAAAGGGCGAGCCCAAGUUGCCGCCGCAGGACCCGAAAGAUGGUGAACUAUGCCUGGCCAAGACGAAGCCAGAGGAAACUCUGGUGGAGGUCUGAACAAGUUUUGACGUGCAAAUCAAUUUGGUGAGCUGGGUAUAGGGGCGAUAGACUAAUCGAACCAUCUAGUAGCUGGUUCCCUCUGAAAUUUCCCUCAGGAUCGCUGGAGCGCACUUUUAGAGGCAACUUCGCCGGGUAGAGCAAUGAUUAGAGGCACCGGGACCCAUGGUCUCGGCCUAUUCUCAAACUCCCAACCGGCGAGCAGGCUCCUAA